CCGAUCCAUGUAUUUGUACCAAAAACCGAUGCGAGAGGAGAUGUGAGUAUUCUAUGUUUUCUAGUCUAAAAUGAAGUCGAAUCGAGCAAUCCUUCGGUUGUUCUUACAGGAGACAUCAUUCUGCUUACUGGAUUACAAGGAAAUGACAAUGGCUUAUCGGCCGUCUCAUGCCGAUUUCACUUACGACACGAAAUACGGCGUCCGGGAGGUGCAGGGAGGUGGGAGAUCAUCGGCAAGGGAAACCAUAGGAAGAGUUAUCCCCGGUGCUAUCGCUAAGAAAAUACUAAAGCAAUUUUCAGGAACCGAGGUUCUUGCCUAUGUCUCACAAGUACAUCAGGUUGUACUUCCAGAUGGUUUAGUUGACCAUGACACUGUAACUCUCGACCAGAUAGAGAACAGUAUCGUACGGUGUCCGAAUCCAGAAUACACCGAGAAAAUGAUGGUUGCUAUAGAUGCUGUGCGAGCAAGAGGCGAUUCUAUCGGCGGUGUUCUCACAUGCAUAGUGAAGAUGUCCCACACGGGCUUGGUUCACCGGUUUUCGAUAAGCUCGAGGCCGAGCUUGAGGCUUUAAUGUCGGUACCUACAAUCAAAGGCUUUGAAAUUGGAAGUGGAUUUGCAGAUACUUUUCUGACGGGUAACGAGCACAAUGACGAGUUCUUCACCGAUGAACAUGGAAGAAUAAGGACACGAACAAAUCGCUCCGGUGGUAUAUAGGGUAGAAUCUCCAAUGGGGAAAUUAUAAGCAUGAGAGUAGCUUUGAAGCCAA